UCUUGGUCAUUUAGAGGAAGUAAAAGUCGUAACAAGGUUUCCGUAGGUGAACCUGCGGAAGGAUCAUUAUCGAGUUUUGACUGGGUUGUAGCUGGCCUUCCGAGGCAUGUGCACGCCCUGCUCAUCCACUCUACACCUGUGCACUUACUGUGGGUAUCAGAUCGUGAAGCGUGCUCUUUUACCGGAGCUUGUGAAGCGUGUCUGUGCCUGCGUUUAUCACAAACACUAUAAAGUAUCAGAAUGUGUAUUACGAUGUAACGCAUCUAUAUACAACUUUCAGCAACGGAUCUCUUGGCUCUCGCAUCGAUGAAGAACGCAGCGAAAUGCGAUAAGUAAUGUGAAUUGCAGAAUUCAGUGAAUCAUCGAAUCUUUGAACGCACCUUGCGCUCCUUGGUAUUCCGAGGAGCAUGCCUGUUUGAGUGUCAUGAAAUCUUCAACCUAUAAGCUUUUGUGGUUUGUAGGCUUGGACUUGGAGGCUUGUCGGCCUUGAUCGGUCGGCUCCUCUUAAAUGCAUUAGCUUGAUUCCUUGCGGAUCGGCUCUCGGUGUGAUAAUAUCUACGCCGCGACCGUGAAGCGUUUGGCGAGCUUCUAACCGUCUCACUUGAGAGACAACUUUAUGACCUCUGACCUCAAAUCAGGUAGGACUACCCGCUGAACUUAAGCAUAUCAAUAAGCGGAGGA
rnacentral:rRNA from 1 species